CGGAUCGGAGUCUGNAACCCGACUCCGUGAAGCUGGAUUCGCUGUAAUCGCGCAUCAGCCAUGGCGCGGUGAAUACGUUCCCGGGCCUUGUACACACCGCCCGUCAAGCCAUGGAAGCCGGGGGCGCUUGAAGUGCGUUGCCGCAAGGCGCGCCCUAGAGCGAAACCGGUGACUGGGGCUAAGUCGUAACAAGGUAUC
rnacentral:rRNA from 1 species